GCGCGCCAAAACUCCAGUACAGCGUAAACAAGUUGAAGAAAACUUGAAGUCUCAUGAAGUUGAGCGUCACUAACUUGUCACUAGCUUGUGAUAACUGGGCUGAAAGGCUGCAACUCUUGAAGCCUAUAUACAGUGUCAACACAGGCUUUGUUUUGUCUUCUUCCUGCCCAACUUAUUACAAGAUGGCUGUAACACCUAGUGGAAGUCUUUAUACGAGAAGAUAAUCAUCAAUGGAUGUGGAAACGAGCAGUCUGGCUUGAGGGAAAACGAGAAGAGGAGCAUACUGUACCAUGUAGCUGGAUCGAUGAGGAAGAGCAAGUCUUAUAUUGGCCUCAAGGUGUAAAUGCAGAGAAGGCAUUGAGGUCUCAACAACACCCGGACUUAAAAUCUUGGAGGAAAUUCCGUUUAGUUAAAGUGAAAAUAUCAUCAGAUAGUUACCAAGACUGUGAAGAUUACCUGCACACAUCUACAGUUGAGGAUACUCUGAGCAGUGCUGACUCUGAUGGUGAUAGUAAUGGUGUAUCAAGGAUCAAGAGAAAACGUCCUAAGAAGAUCCUUCCAGAUGGCUUUGUCAGUAGCCAGGAUAUGCGUGGUACGUAGGCAAAGAUGCAAAUACUGUUGACCCUCGCUAACUCAGACUCCUCACUAACUUGGACUCUGACCGACCCAGGGACUAAAGUCCAAGUGUAAGUACCUGCUUUUUUUUUUUUUUCUUCUCCUUUGGAGGGGGGGGGGUAAAUUCAUCUGUCGGACAUUUGCAUUUGUCAGACCAACCUUUCCCCUAUUAGUCUGGAGUUAGCAUGGGUCAACAGUAUACUAAUUUAACCCAUCUGCUACCGCCCUGUGGGAAAUAAAAGAUGCGCUCUAUACCGCCCAUUGGCCAAUUUUUUUUUCUUUUUGGGGGGCUAAAAUUACUUAAUAUAGCCAAAACCAAUACGAAAAGUUGUUCAUUCCACUCACCGUCCCCUAGAAGUGCUGCACUCAAGUGAACGCCGAAAUGCGCAUGAAAGCAUUCUUUCUAUUGCGAUUUAUUACGAUAAUUUUCUGACGCGUCAGCGGUAUAUAGGAGUGGUUUAGCUUUGAACGCGUGAGACGCGUCAGCGGUAGCAGACAGGUUACAAAGCAAGUGCUGCUUUUCUUAUUUAAGUUCAGUUAAAUGCAUUUUGCUUUCUGCUGUGUAACUGUUUAGAUGGUUCAGUAAUUCUUCCUUCAACCCAAGGUACACAUAAUCCAUUCCUGAUUUCAUAUGUGUGAUAAUAUCUCGAGGUGUAUUUUUCAAUGACCUAGCAGUUUUGGGCAAAUCCUUAUGACCAGUUUUAAUCAGUAGUUUAAGGAGGUCAUCUACAGCAUUGUGUGUGACAUUAUGGAAAGAUGCCCAUUUACUCAGUUCUUCUUUUAAUUGCUUGGUGGCUAAAUAUUGAGUGUUAUCAUCAUCAGACUCUGAUGAUUCAAUCAUAUGGGCAUCAAUCAGAAUCAGAACUGCUGUCAUUAUCGGUUGGUAUGUCCAUUUUCAGACUUAAGGUGGGGAUAAUUAAAUCAUCAUCACUACUACUACUCAGAUCUGUGGUGGUGAUUUGCUGACUUGCUUUGUUAAGUUUGCGCUUGGCAGCUAUCCAUUUCCUCUUAUACUCCUUACGUGCCCUUUUUUUUUACUCAUCCAUUUCCACUGAAAACAGAAAUUUAAUACAAGUAAAUAUAUGAAGCUUGGGACUCCAUAGAGUAGCUAUUUAAGAGUAGGAGAUAUACUGCCUUUUAGUUUAUUAGAUUGCCAACUGAUGAUGGGUUACAACAAUUCCUAUGUGGGAUUUGGCAGUAACCUUAGGUUAUGUGUCACAGUUAAACAUCAAUAAUAUUUGGAAGACAAAAUACAUUGCAUAGCCUUGAUGCAA